UACGUAGGGGGCAAGCGUUGUCCGGAUUUAUUGGGCGUAAAGAGCGUGUAGGCGGCUUGGUAGGUCUUGCGUCAAAACCUGAGGCUCAACCUCAGUUCGCGUGGGAAACCAUCUAGCUAGAGUCCGGAAGAGGAGAACGGAAUUCCCAGUGUAGCGGUGAAAUGCGCAGAUAUGGGGAGGAACACCGGUGGCGAAGGCAGGUCUCUGGGCAUUAACUGACGCUGAGGAGCGAAAGCAUGGGGAGCGAACAGG
rnacentral:rRNA from 1 species